rnacentral:lncRNA from 1 species
GCGCUUGGUCGUGAAAGGGGCCGAGGAGGUGGAGCAUGUAGAGGCAAUCUCCAAGUACCGAGACAAGGCUGAAGGGCAGAGGCCAAGAAACUUCGUAAGACCGGUGUCAACAAGUUUCUCAUCAAGAUAGUCGAAAGUGAAGGACUUUGGGUCAUGCAAGAGUGCAUAACCAAGGAACGAAGCAGGCAGUACGCGGUGCUGUACCUUUGCUACUCAGUGGAGUAGGCGGCAGGGUUGAUGGAGAAGACAGUACAAUCCCAGAGGCGACCUCAUGCAUGGGAGUUGCAGUAUGUCUUUCCAUUGACCAAACAGACUGCUUGGAGAACACAGAGGUGUUGAAGCAGGGGGUCGAAAGGGGUGAGGAAGCGACGACAAGUCCAGAGGGACUUAGCUACCCAAAAAACCAAGCAUCAGUCAGAAUGUAAGUGGGCUCAGAGGAGUGCCACGGAGACAUAUCUACUGAUCGUGAAGAAAAGGGAUGUAGAUGCGAGGCAACGGAUAGUAGGGCCAUGGGCAUGGCAGCGCCAUGGUACCGCAGAGGCGGGACUUCCGUGAAAGUCAUUGAUCCCUUGCUCUCAUGGAGGGAGAGCGCUUGGUCGUGAAAGGGGCCGAGGAGGUGGAGCAUGUAGAGGCAAUCUCCAAGUACCGAGACAAGGCUAAAGGGCAGAGGCCAAGAAACUUCGUAAGACCGGUGUCAACAAGUUUCUCAUCAAGAUAGCCGAAAGUGAAGGACUUUGGGUCAUGCAAGAGUGCAUAACCAAGGAACGAAGCAGGCAGUACGCAGUGCUGUACCUUUGCUACUCAGUGGAGUAGGCGGCAGGGUUGAUGGAGAAGACGGUACAAUCCCAGAGGCGACCUCAUCUAU